rnacentral:rRNA from 1 species
UGGCGGACGGGUGAGUAACGCGUGGGUAACCUGCCUCACACUGGGGGAUAACAGUUAGAAAUAGCUGCUAAUACCGCAUAAGCGCACGGUUCCGCAUGGAACAGUGUGAAAAACUCCGGUGGUGUGAGAUGGACCCGCGUCUGAUUAGCCAGUUGGCGGGGUAACGGCCCACCAAAGCGACGAUCAGUAGCCGGCCUGAGAGGGUGAACGGCCACAUUGGGACUGAGACACGGCCCAA